UACGUAGGUGGCAAGCGUUGUCCGGAUUUAUUGGGUUUAAAGGGUGCGUAGGCGGCUUAUUAAGUCAGUGGUGAAAUACUCUAGCUCAACUAGGGGGGUGCCAUUGAUACUGAUGAGCUUGAGUACAGAUGAGGUAGGCGGAAUUGACGGUGUAGCGGUGAAAUGCUUAGAUAUCGUCAAGAACACCUAUAGCGAAGGCAGCUUACUAGGCUGUAACUGACGCUGAGGCACGAAAGUGUGGGGAUCAAACAGG
rnacentral:rRNA from 1 species